AUUGAACGCUGGCGGCAGGCCUAACACAUGCAAGUCGAACGAGUGGCGGACGGGUGAGUAAUGUCUGGGAACGUGCCCAAUGGAGGGGGAUAACUACUGGAAACGGUAGCUAAUACCGCAUACCAUUGGCUUGGCCCAGAUCGGAUUAGCUAGUAGGUGGGGUAAAGGCUCACCUAGGCAACGAUCCGUAGCUGGUCUGAGAGGACGACCAGCCACACGGGAACUGAGACACGGUCCAGACUCCUACGGGAGGCAGCAGUGGGGAAUAUUGCACAAUGGGGGAAAGCCUGAUGCAGCCAUGCCGCGUGUAUGAUGAAGGCCUUCGGGUUGUAAAGUACUUUCAGCAGAGAGGCGGUACCCGCAGAAGAAGCACCGGCUAACUCCGUGCCAGCAGCCGCGGUAAUUC
rnacentral:rRNA from 1 species